CCUCCCUCCCCCUAGUUAUCUCAGCCUCUUUCCACAAGAAAAAGGAGAUGACCAGUCCUGUUGGACAGAUGGGGAAACUGAGGCCCAGAAGCUGGGGAUUUACAAGAUGCCAAGAACUCUGCUAGAGGAAACCAGACGACACAUUGUUGAGGGCCUGUGGUAUGUCCUCAGCUGCACACCGGAUUCAGGAAGACUGGGGCGCAGGCCUCAGGAGGCAAAAACACAAAGUCUCAUUUUGUCAUCCAGGCUGG